rnacentral:rRNA from 2 species
GGGCAUUGGGGGGCAGGCUACCAUGCAGUCGAGCGGAUGAAGGGAGCUUGCUCCUGGAUUCAGCGGCGGACGGGUGAGUAAUGCCUAGGAAUCUGCCUGGUAGUGGGGGAUAACGUCCGGAAACGGGCGCUAAUACCGCAUACGUCCUGAGGGAGAAAGUGGGGGAUCUUCGGACCUCACGCUAUCAGAUGAGCCUAGGUCGGAUUAGCUAGUUGGUGGGGUAAAGGCCUACCAAGGCGACGAUCCGUAACUGGUCUGAGAGGAUGAUCAGUCACACUGGAACUGAGACACGGUCCAGACUCCUACGGGAGGCAGCAGUGGGGAAUAUUGGACAAUGGGCGAAAGCCUGAUCCAGCCAUGCCGCGUGUGUGAAGAAGGUCUUCGGAUUGUAAAGCACUUUAAGUUGGGAGGAAGGGCAGUAAGUUAAUACCUUGCUGUUUUGACGUUACCAACAGAAUAAGCACCGGCUAACUUCGUGCCAGCAGCCGCGGUAAUACGAAGGGUGCAAGCGUUAAUCGGAAUUACUGGGCGUAAAGCGCGCGUAGGUGGUUCAGCAAGUUGGAUGUGAAAUCCCCGGGCUCAACCUGGGAACUGCAUCCAAAACUACUGAGCUAGAGUACGGUAGAGGGUGGUGGAAUUUCCUGUGUAGCGGUGAAAUGCGUAGAUAUAGGAAGGAACACCAGUGGCGAAGGCGACCACCUGGACUGAUACUGACACUGAGGUGCGAAAGCGUGAGGAGCAAACAGGAUUAGAUACCCUGGUAGUCCACGCCGUAAACGAUGUCGACUAGCCGUUGGGAUCCUUGAGAUCUUAGUGGCGCAGCUAACGCGAUAAGUCGACCGCCUGGGGAGUACGGCCGCAAGGUUAAAACUCAAAUGAAUUGACAGGGGCCCGCACAAGCGGUGGAGCAUGUGGUUUAAUUCGAAGCAACGCGAAGAACCUUACCUGGGCCUUGACAUGCUGAGAACUUUCCAGAGAUGGAUUGGUGCCUUC